GUGUGGCGUAAUGGCUAACGCGUCUGACUUCUAAUCAGAAGAUUGCGAGUUGUACGUUCAAUUCCUCCUUUCUACU